GCAAAUUGAAUUCAACAACAAAAAGAUCAAAACGGGAAAGAAAAACAAGAAGAAAACGGCAAGAGAUCAAAGGAGGCGGAUUUCAAAUCCUAACAUUAAACUAAAUAUUUAAAACCCGUUUCACAUCCGCUUUCUCAAACUCAUACUCUCCCUUCUUCCACCUUUCACAUAUGCCCCCAAUUGAUUUGCGUACUUGUAAAACCCUAACCUUUAAUCUUGCAACCCCACACGCCGCCGCCACCGCCGCCGCCUCUUUUUUUUACGGCAAGAGAUCAAAGGAGGCGGAUUUCAAAUCCUAACAUUAAACUAAAUAUUUAAAACCCGUUUCACAUCCGCUUUCUCAAACUCAUACUCUCCCUUCUUCCACCUUUCACAUAUGCCCCCAAUUGAUUUGCGUACUUGUAAAACCCUAACCUUUAAUCUUGCAACCCCACACGCCGCCGCCACCGCCGCCGCCGCUUUUGUUCUUUCGUUUUCUGUUGGGUUUUGAGUUCAAUUUGAUUUCAUAUAUUCUUGGCUUCACUCUAUUCUAUUCGGUUCUUCAAGUUCCAGUUUGCGAGCUGGCUAUGGACUACGAGCCCUACGAUAGCAGUGG
rnacentral:lncRNA from 1 species